GUGGGUUGGCCAGAGGUUAGAGCUUAGGUCUCGUAACCGAAAGGUCGCGGGAUCGAAUCCCGCUAGAGGAUGACA
rnacentral:tRNA from 1 species